CAUCCAACCUGCUGGGUUUAUUGUCCAGAGCUCCAGGGCUUCCUUUUUUCUUCAUAAUUACCAAAUGUAAUUCAGGGUUGCAAUCAGGGUUACCAUCAUUCUGACUUGGAUGUCAGCUGUAUUAUAGGGUUUGAUGAUAUGGCAAAAUAUCAUAUCAUAUCAUAUCAUAUAUCCUCCUGAGACCCAACAAUUCAUUUUUGUCCUCCGUGGGGGACAGGAGUCUGAUACCUCUAAGUCAAGCACAAUUAAUGCAAUCUUUUUGGGUCCUACUGUGCUGUCAAGAGGACAUCCUGGGCUUUCUAGUGAUGCCACAGUUGUGGGGGUGUGGCUAACAGAGCACACAGACUUUCUUUUCAAAAUGGCAGCCAUUGCAGCUUCCACAUUUUAUGGCACCAAGGGAGUUUCAACCCUGUUGUGGAGGAGAACACUGUGCAAGACAAUGCUGGCCACAACCACCAAGACUGGAGGCCCUCUGAUUACUUCAAACAGUACAUAGAUAACCAGGUUUUUGAGAAAAUGUCAGAACACACAAACCAGCGGGAGGUGCUCAUCUCUGGAGGCAGCCUUAAAACCACUCCAGAGGAGCUGAAAACCUUCUUUGGCAUAUCUAUGUACAUGGCAUGCCUCGGAUACCCUAGGAUCCGGAUGUACUGGGCAGCGAAGACGAGGGUCCCAGUCAUAGCCAAUUCAAUGAGUUGAGACAGAUUCUUCAAGAUUAGGCAGUCCAUCAAACUCACAAAUGAUCUUGAUGUCUCUGCAGAGGAGAAAAAGAAUGAUCCCCUCUGGAAGGUAAGACCUCUCUUAAACAGAGUGCAACAAGGCUGCCUCAAUCUGCCAAGACCAGGGAAGGCCUGUGUAGAUGAGCAGAUGAUACCCUUCACAGGUCGGUGUCCUGUACGGCAGUUUGUGCCAGGGAAACCAAAUCCCACAGGACUGUGCUUGCCAUUCCCAAUGGUCUGGUGCUGGAUUUUGAAGUUUACAAGGGCCGGAAUACGUUCACUGACCAGCAGCUGGGAAUCGAAGGGAAUGCAGUCGCUCGGAUGGCACAGUCUCUUCCAAGAGGAACACACCUGUACUUUGACAGAUAUUUCACUUCUAUCAAAGUACUGGAUAUGUUGAAAGCAAAUGGUCUCCUGGGAACAGGGACCAUUAUGAAAAAUAGAAUCCCUGCACUGUGCAAGUCAAAGAUGUCAGAUGACACCAAACUAAAAAAACAAGGAAAAGGUGCAUCUGAAAUGGUUGUCAGAAAACCAUUAGAGGUUGCAGUGACGAAGUGGCAGGACAAUAAGGCAAUUCUGAUGGCCUCCAGUGUCCAUGGGAUAGAGCCCCAGGACAGCUGCCUGAGAUGGUCAGCAAAAGAGAAGUGCCAUGUAACUGUGCCUAGACCUGCUGUUGUGGCUGAGUACAACAAAAACAUGGGUGGAGUUGAUUUGCGCACUAGGAGAUUUAAUUCCUAAAAUAAUGUUUUAGUGUUCAUAUGUGCUUCCUUCAUCUAACUGUUCAGUUCAUGAAUCGGUUCACGUUUUGACUCAGUUCAUGAAAAGAAAAGAAAUUUUAACAGAAAUCUGCGUGAAAAUGAAUACGUUACAUUCAUUACAUUCUGUGAUCAAAAAAGACCUGAUGUCCACUUCAAGGGACAGAUGAUAAAAAAUAAAUAAAUAAAAUUUUUGAAUUUUU